rnacentral:rRNA from 1 species
CGCGGCCUAUCAGCUUGUUGGUGAGGUAACGGCUCACCAAGGCGACGACGGGUAGCCGGCCUGAGAGGGCGAUCGGCCACACUGGGACUGAGACACGGCCCAGACUCCUACGGGAGGCAGCAGUGGGGAAUAUUGCACAAUGGGCGAAAGCCUGAUGCAGCGACGCCGCGUGGGGGAUGACGGCCUUCGGGUUGUAAACCUCUUUCAGUAGGGACGAAGCGGAAGUGACGGUACCUACAGAAGAAGCACCGGCCAACUACGUGCCAGCAGCCGCGGUAAUACGUAGGGUGCAAGCGUUGUCCGGAAUUAUUGGGCGUAAAGAGCUCGUAGGCGGUCUGUCGCGUCGGCUGUGAAAACCCGAGGCUCAACCUCGGGCCUGCAGUCGAUACGGGCAAACUAGAGUGUUGCAGGGGAGACUGGAAUUCCUGGUGUAGCGGUGAAAUGCGCAGAUAUCAGGAGGAACACCGGUGGCGAAGGCGGUUCUCUGGGCAUUACCUGACGCUGAGGAGCGAAAGUGUGGGGAGCGAACAGGAUUAGAUACCCUGGUAGUCCACACCGUAAACGUUGGGCGCUAGGUGUGGGGCCUAUUCCAUGGGUUCCGUGCCGCAGCUAACGCAUUAAGCGCCCCGCCUGGGGAGUACGG